rnacentral:rRNA from 1 species
AGCGCCCCAUAAGCAUGCAAGUCGUAAAAGGUACCCGUAUCGGUCUGGUGGCGAGUGGCGAACGGGUGAGUAAUGUAUCGGAACGUGCCUAGUAGCGGGGGAUAACUACGCGAAAGCGUAGCUAAUACCGCAUACGCCCUACGGGGGAAAGCAGGGGAUCGCAAGACCUUGCACUAUUAGAGCGGCCGAUAUCGGAUUAACUAGUUGGUGGGGUAACGGCUCACCAAGGCGACGAUCCGUAGCUGGUUUGAGAGGACGACCAGCCACACUGGGACUGAGACACGGCCCAGACUCCUACGGGAGGCAGCAGUGGGGAAUUUUGGACAAUGGGGGAAACCCUGAUCAAGCCAUCCCGCG